GCAGAGCACUCCUCGGGAGGCAGCAGUGGGGAAUAUUGCACAAUGGGCGCAAGCCUGAUGCAGCCAUGCCGCGUGUAUGAAGAAGGCCUUCGGGUUGUAAAGUACUUUCAGCAGUGAGGAAGGUGGGUAUGUUAAUAGCAUACUCAUUUGACGUUAGCUGCAGAAGAAGCACCGGCUAACUCCGUGCCAGCAGCCGCGGUAAUACGGAGGGUGCGAGCGUUAAUCGGAAUUACUGGGCGUAAAAGCGCAUGCAGGUGGUUUGUUAAGUCAGAUGUGAAAGCCCGGGGCUCAACCUCGGAAUUGCAUUUGAAACUGGCAAACUAGAGUACUGUAGAGGGGGUAGAAUUUCAGGUGUAGCGGUGAAAUGCGUAGAGAUCUGAAGGAAUACCGGUGGCGAAGGCGGCCCCCUGGACAGAUACUGACACUCAGAUGCGAAAGCGUGGGGAGCAAACAGGAUUAGAUACCCUGGUAG
rnacentral:rRNA from 1 species